UUCUUUAGAGUGAUAACUUGUUUAGCUUAACUUUCUUGUAUAUUUCUUAAUUAUAACAUCCAUGUAUUCAUUGAUUGUACACCACUGCAGUUAAAUUGUUGACUAAUUCCUACCUAUGCUUGUAUCUGCUUUACUGUUCAGGUAUUGAGUUGCAUUUCAUAAUUUACAGAUAUCUUAAAAGGAGUGCUGAGGAAUACUUUUUUGGCUGUAGUUGUAAGAGAUUUUCUGUAUGUAGUAAAGCACAACAAUUUUGCUAAAAGAUUUGUCCAAGUACCAUUUUCCAGACAGAACUGUUUAUUCUCACUCACCAUUUUGACCCUUUGCAGGAAGUAAAUACUCAUUUUGUACUGUUGAAACAUUCCUGCCAUCCAGAGUUCUGUGUGCAGAUAACAGUACUGCAUAUUCAGUCACAAGGUCGUGACUUUCAGCCACUUACCCAGAAUUUGUAUCUAAUUUUUUCUUACACAGAUUUCCAGAUCUCAGGCUUGUGUGAUUUUUUUCCAGACAAUGAAUACAUAAUUAUAUGCCUACAAAGGCCUUUUUGUUUGUAUUGUGUUUUCUGUAGUUAUUUGCACUGUAAUUAAAGGCAAAAUAAUUCAAAUUUUAAUUAUGAACUUUGUCAAAACACUGAGAGAUAAUUUGCUAAAUUGGGAGCAAGUUGUUCUCUCUGGAGGGUUGUUAUAGUUGGGUCUGUAUUGCAUGCUAAAGAGAAUUAGUAUAGAUAAUUAUUUAUGAUCAUUUGCCAUUUUUAAUUGUACAUAGGAAAUUGAAAUACUAAAGUUUCCUUAAAGUUCAUGACCAUUAUGUGGUACUUCAAUUUUUCAGUAAUCUCAGGAUAUAAAUUAGUCUUCAGGUAGUUACUGUUACUUCAAAAAAGUCACUUGCUUUAUUCAAUCAGAAAAGAGGCUUUUCAGUAAUCCCACUAAAAUAAAAGGAGUUUGCAAGUUUGUAUUUCUCUAAGCUAGCGAAAUGAGCAUUGAAACUGCAGCCUAUUAUCUCAGCGUUGCUUUUCUUUUAGCUGGGAAAAUCAGUAUGUCUUUACCUUUAGACCUGAUUCCUGAGAUAUCUGUCAAAAUAAUUGCUCAAUCUUAAUUUCGUAUCUCACAGAUGAAGAGUCAGGCAGUCAGCACACCUAGUCAGUUUCUCACCUCAGCAUUUCUCAAAGAACAACACGCUAUUGCUUGCUCAUCUCAGUAGGUACAGUUUGAUCAAAAUAAGAGCAUGACCUCCUCUAGGGAGUGUUAUCACUAAAAUGCACUCAGUCCUAAUGUCUACUGGCAAAAUCUGAGUUUAGAUUUAGCAAAUUAUUUACAUACACAAGCACAGUUAGUUUUCUAACCCUGCUGCAGUAGAACAAGCUCUGAAUAUCAUCAUCCUAUGUACAGUGGUACAGACCUCUAUUGCAGUGUUUCUAAUACCAUAGAGAGUCCCCAGUAGUGAAUGUUGUUGCACAGAAAUCAUGGUUGUCUUUGAUAUUCCAAAUUUAGAGAUGCUUCCAUCUUACCUCACCUGAUUUCACAACACAAAUGACAGUGGUUCCAAAAAUUCCAGCCUUAGGAACCAAAGCAAUUCCUAGCAACCAUCCUAGAGCCUGGGAAGAACACUUCCAGCAUUUUCAACUGGUAUUUCUACUAAUCACCAAUGUGAUUCCAGUCAAGGAAAGUAUCUCUUUCUGCUGCUUUCAAAUGUCUUCUGCUCUUAAAGAUUUAGUAUCCUGUGUCUACCAGCCAAGAGCAACCUCUUAUAGUGAGCUUUUACUCAAUUUGCAAAGGCAGCCAAAAAACAUGUCUACACUUGGAUACGUUGCUCUGCUCAUAAGUACUUUCCAUGUACUGAUUUAUGGAUGGAAAAGAGCUUUUGAAGAAGAAUAUUACAGAUUUUACACACCGCCAAAUUUUGUUCUUGCCCUUGUUCUGCCUUCCAUUGUAAUUCUAGGUAAGAUCAUUUUACUUCUGCCAUGCGUAAGUAGGAAACUAAGGAGAAUUAGAAGAGGAUGGGAGAAAAGCCAUGCAAUAGAAGAAACAAGUGGGUCCGUUCCACAUUUCUCUCCAGAAAGAAUAACUGUGAUGUAAUGGUAGAUCACAAUUUGUUAGUACUAUUGCAAAUGUUUGAGUUUUUCUUUGUGUUUUUUUUGUCUUGUAUUUUCAGGAGUUUAUGUAAUAUAUGUAUAAAGUCAGUGUGGACUUGCUUGGCAUACAUACAAGCCCUCAAUGGAUUUAUGAGAAAUUUAUAAGUAGGAAAUUACUAUUUUGGAUAACUACAGAAAUACUUUGUUUUGAAUUACAGGGCAGAUAAUCAUGAAAUCAGAUUUUUUUUUUUAAUGCUCUUUUGCACAGUUGUAUCACAACAAUAUUUCCUUAUAACAGUGCUUUUGAGAUAUUUCUUUGACUCAGUGAGUGUGUCAGAGUGCUAUGUCUUAGUACCAUACUUUACCACAUCUGUCAUUUAAACCAUGCUUCUGGGUUACUGAAUUCAGAAUAUUGACUAAUAGAGUUAAUUCAGAUUUUGAAGCAACUGAAACUAGUUAGUAAUGUGUUGCACAUUUUUAUGUUUUUCCAAAUAUUCCAUAUUUAAAUAUGCAAAACCAAUUUCAGAUAUAGCUUAAGUAUGCAUCUUGUAAACAGACAAUAUUGUACCUUUUGGGACUUUUUUGAAGAGAAUCGCAUGGAAUUUUAAACUUUAGCAUCUCUUUAUUUGUGUAUGUCAUUAUAAUGAGUAAUCAAAGCAUUAGGCAUGAGUAGGUAGACUUGCAGAUACAUAUGCAAGCAACUACUUUUUGAUGGAAUAAUUAUUUUGAAAUACCAGAAAAUAUUUUAAAACAAAAAUACUGAUAAAUCUGCAACAAUAAAAAUCCACUUUCACUGUGAAACUUCCAGCAUGUUGGUACAGCAAGGAAGCAUCACAUUACUCAUGUUCUGUAUGUUUUUACAUUGGAGUUUCAGUUACAUAUGAAUGUCCCAAUUUAUCCUACAGUCUCUGUAUUUACACAAAAUGAUACUAUCUUCUAUUUUUAUAUAUAGUCUUACUUUUACAACAGAUGUUUCUGGGAUAUGCCUGAAUUUUUGAGAAACAAAAUGAUUAUUCUCAAACUUAAAAAUGAAAUUUUACCUCUAAGACUUGACAUCUGUGUUUUCUGUGGGCUUCAGAAGAACAUUCAGAAUGAUUUAUUACUAUUACUUUGUCAGGUUUUACUCUAACAAAAUAGCUAAACCCAAUUUAUGUACCUUCAGUCUACUCUUAAUUAGCAAAAUCUUUAUUUUAAUGAAUGAGAAUUGGUCCGAAUUUUCCUUGGAUAUAUGAAAUUAUAUUUUUCUUAGCUAUUUUUGCACUGGAUCUCUAAGUUUCUUAGCUGAAUCUUCACUUACUAUUUCUUUGCAAGCAUUUGUCAUCAAUAUGAUACCUGUCAGAAGUUGAAUUUAUCCUUAAAUAUCAUCAAUUCUUUGAAUCUCAGUACUUCUACAAUGAAACCAACAGCUCCACGGAAAUAGAAUCUAGAAUCAAAUUCUACUCCCAGUUACACUAGGCUAAAUCUGAAAAGUUAGUUAGUUGUUCUUAAUUUCAUUUCAAACUACAAAAAUGUACUACAAUUUUAUUUUGAUUGUAGUACUUGCAUUCUUCAAACAUCAAGUCUGUGUAUGUUCAGGAUUUGUUGCAAAUCAAGAGACAGCUGGAUCAUUCUAAUUCCAAGUGUGUUCACCAAGGUAGUAAUGUUACUGUUCCAUUUCCUGUAUGCAGCUAUUUCAAUGACAAAUGUGAUACAUGAGCCCAAUACUGUUUUAUCAAACCAGAUAUUAAGCAAAAAAAAAUGUUGUUAUUGCAUAUAGACAGGAGCCUAAGCUAAUAGGAAUCCAAUUUUCUCAUAAAAAUAGAGAACAAAUGUCAUUUACAACUGCUAAAUUACUUUGCCUGUGUGUAAAUGAAUUUUAGUUACAGAAAGCUGUGUAUUUUUGGAAGGCUUGCGGGAUAACCUAUAACUGAAUUUCCUAGCCAAUGUGUGUUUUUUUUUCUAUUCCAUUAUUACAGACAAACUGAAGAAAGCUUAGGCAGUUUUGCUCCAUUGCUUUGAAUAAAUUUAAUUACAGAAUUAGCACAAAAAGUUCAACUGAUACAACUAUUCUCUUGGUUCUAAUUACUCACAUACACGGGUGUUUGCAGGAAUAUUUGCUUGUGAGUUGUCUGAAAGGCAGUUAAUCUUCACAAACCCAUGGCAUUGUUUAUGUAGAAUUAUUUCAACUCUUUGUUAUUAAUUUCAUGCUAGAGAAAACAGCAUAUAUGAUUGAUAUUAAAAUUCUCCAAGACUUUUCGUAUUUUAAUGAGAUAAAUACUGUGCUAUGUUCUGUCCCAGUUCUGUGCAUGAAACCUAAUUAAAGUCACUAGAAUUGAAGUGUAACUGAAAGUAGAAUUUCCUUCCUUUGAACAAAUUUAGGCUAGAAACCAUUAUUGUUGACAAUUUCCAAAUUAAAUAUGCUGCUGUUAUUUUUAUAGUAAUUAUACACUUCUGCAGGAUAUAUAAUUAUCAUUCACAUCUAAUUCUUGUCUGAUGCAGUAGUGAUAAUGAUGCAGAACUAAGAUACUCUACUAGUUGAACCUUACGCCAAAGUCAAUAUAUGUUGUAAUAUAUCAUGCAGCCAUUCACAGUGUGUACAGAAAUGUAUUUGCCCUCUAUCCUAUGCAGAGUUAUUUCAUCUUUAGACUUCUUUAGGAAUGUUAAAACUUAAAUUUUGAACUGACAGAAGUGUCUGGAGGGAGUAGUAAUGUGGUGUUCCUUUCUUCAAACUACUUGUGUUGAAAAUCAAAAAUGUGGUUUAAUUUUACUUGAAAGGUUAAAAUACUGAAGUAUUAAUAAAUAGAUAAUAUUUUUAGACAAAAUAUGUGAAGAUAUUUUGUUAAGUAUUUGUGCUAUAACAUGACAUACGGUUUCCAGUUAGGCCGUGUAUUUAUUUCUAGCUUGGAAUAAGAUGACCUGUUGUUUAAUCUUGUGUAGUGUUCUUUAUUGUAAGGACCAAUUAAUAAGAUGCUGUAAAUCUGAAAAUAAAAUGACACUCAUGCGUUUAUUACACAUGCAUAUGUUCAGUCACAUCAGGAAACUAUUCAUAUGAUUAAUUACAUUGGUUUCUGUGGGAGGACUUGAGUAAGGAGUUACUGGAAAGACACCUGAGGCUAAAAGUUCAGUUUCGGUUGCCUAAAUCUACUCAAAUCAAAUCAUCUAGACUCUUCAGUUACUUAGGAGAAUAUACAUGUAUUUUGAGGAAUAGGCUGCUAUAAAAAUAUUUUCUCUGUAACAUUAUAUAAAUCAUUUACUGCUGGUAGGGAUGCCCUGCCAAAUGUGAAAAUAACCUUCACUUCUCUUAGAGUUAAAUAAAAACAAAAAUGUUGCUUAAUAUGUGAUGCAGAGCUUUACAUAUUAUGCUAGAAAAUAGAAACCUCUGUAUUUAGCAACAAGAUGUUUGUUUUCUAUGGAUGUUAAGGUAUUUCUUGAUGUUGUUAAAAAUGCAGUUCUAUUGCAGAUUCCAUAUUUGUCUUUAAUUUUAUGUUACAAUUCCAUUUACUGUGGCAACUAUGUACAAGUUAACUAAGUCCUCAUGUUCUUGAAUUACUUAGAGAUUAAUUAUUUUGAAAUUCAGUUUUGCAAGUUGUUUACAUAUGUAGCUUGCGGUAACAGUUGUUGUGAAUUGGUGCCAUUUUUAGCAUUUUGUUCCAGCUUUGUGCAUAAUGUGAUGUGCCAACAUGAGAAAGAAAGUACAUUUGUAUUUUUAUUUGGCAUUAAUUGGCUAUAAAGUAUUGUGUCUAUAAACAAUUAGCUGUACAUGUUGCCCAACUAGCACUAAGGGAGAUUACUGAUUAAUAUAAGGCAAAAAAUUCCCAAGUGAAUAUAGACUUCACAGAUGUGACUAUAGUUAGGAAAUGAUUUUCCUCUGAAUGUUAUAAAAUCAAAGUAAGAUAUAUCAGCUGCAUAAAGAUUAGAUUGAGAUUUAAGUGUGGUAUUUUCAGCUGUAGCAAUGAAUUUAUGCAGUGGUAGUAGAUGCAUAUGCAUAGUUCCUUUCAGAUAGUACAUUUCACAAGUUUUGGAUUUCUUGGAUGUUCAUUUGGUGGUAUUUUGUACAAAUAAGUAAAGUUGCAGUACUGAUAUUGUAUCAUUAUAUGAUACUGCUUGAAUUAAUUAGAUUGCCACCUGUUUAACAAGUGACACACAACUGACAUGAAUGGUCAUCUUUAUUAUAUAUUGCUUUUCAUGCCUCGCUGGCAGUGUCUUGCAGUGAACAUAGUUUGUCUCCCAUAUGCAAUAUUUUCCUGGUAUUCUCUCUGCAGUUAUUUGUCAGGUUUUUUCUGUGCUCUCUGAACAGGGCUAUUAUAAACUGUUAGCAAAACGCUUUUACCUAUUUUUCCAUAGACUCUGAUUUACACAAAAAUCAAUAAAAAAAAUUAAUGUCA